rnacentral:rRNA from 1 species
UGCCAGACUCCUACGGGAGGCAGCAGUGGGGAAUAUUGCACAAUGGGGGAAACCCUGAUGCAGCAACGCCGCGUGAAGGAAGACGGUUUUCGGAUUGUAAACUUCUGUUCUUAGUGAAGAAUAAUGACGGUAGCUAAGGAGCAAGCCACGGCUAACUACGUGCCAGCAGCCGCGGUAAUACGUAGGGGGCAAGCGUUAUCCGGAUUUACUGGGUGUAAAGGGGGCGCAGACGGCGAUGCAAGCCAGGAGUGAAAGCCCGGGGCCCAACCCCGGGACUGCUCUUGGAACUGCGUGGCUGGAGUGCAGGAGGGGCAGGCGGAAUUCCUGGUGUAGCGGUGAAAUGCGUAGAUAUCAGGAGGAACACCGGUGGCGAAGGCGGCCUGCUGGACUGCAACUGACGUUGAGGCCCGAAAGCGUGGGGAGCAAACAGGAUUAGAUACCCCAGUA